UACGGAGGGUGCAAGCGUUAUCCGGAUUCACUGGGUUUAAAGGGUGCGUAGGUGGGCAAGUAAGUCAGUGGUGAAAUCUCCGGGCUUAACCCGGAAACUGCCAUUGAUACUAUUUGUCUUGAAUACUGUGGAGGUCAGCGGAAUAUGUCAUGUAGCGGUGAAAUGCUUAGAUAUGACAUAGAACACCAAUUGCGAAGGCAGCUGGCUACACAAAUAUUGACACUGAGGCACGAAAGCGUGGGGAUCGAACAGG
rnacentral:rRNA from 1 species